GUGGAUGGGUAAGACUUCGCUGCAGACGGUCGGGCACACAAACAAAAACGAUACAGUAUUAUAUUUAACGACGGUACGUACCGUACUAAAUACGAGUGUCUACUUAUUAAUAUGUUAUUAUUGCCGAAAACGGUGUGUGUCGUAAGUGUAACGAAUAUUGCGUAUAUCAGUAAGGUACCUAUAAUACUAUAGCGUACGCGGGGGCGGGGGUUGUUAACAAGCUCCAAACGAGGGGCGAGGUGCGAAAAUAGUUUGAAUAAUUUAUGUAAACAGAUCCCGCUCCCCUCUCUCGCCCCCCACCCGUUUUUAGAGACGCGA